rnacentral:rRNA from 1 species
GAUGAACGCUGGCGGCGUGCCUAAUACAUGCAAGUCGAGCGAACGGACGAGAAGCUUGCUUCUCUGAUGUUAGCGGCGGACGGGUGAGUAACACCUGGAUAACCUACCUAUAAGACUGGGAUAACUUCGGGAAACCGUAGCUAAUACCGGAUAAUAUUUUGAACCGCAUGGUUCAAAAGUGAAAGACGGUCUUGCUGUCACUUAUAGAUGGAUCCGCGCUGCAUUAGCUAGUUGGUAAGGUAACGGCCUACCAAGGCAACGAUGCAUAGCCGACCUGAGAGGGUGACCGGCCACACUGGGACUGAGACACGGUCCAGACUCCUACGGGAGGCAGCAGUAGGGAAUUUUGCGCAAUGGGCGAAAGCCUGACGGAGCAACGCCGCGUGAGUGAUGAAGGUCUUCGGAUCGUAAAACUCUGUUAUUAGGGAAGAACAUAUGUGUAAGUAACUGUUCACAUCUUGACGGUACCUAAUCAGAAAGCCACGGCUAACUACGUG